GGGGAAUAUUGGGCAAUGGGCGCAAGCUUGACCCAGCAACGCCGCGUGAGGGAAGAAGGUCUUCGGAUUGUAAACCUCUGUCCUUGGGGACGAAAAAACUGACGGUACCCAAGGAGGAAGCUCCGGCUAACUACGUGCCAGCAGUCGCGGUGAUACGUAGGGUGCGAGCGUUGUCCGGAAUUAUUGGGCGUAAAGAGCUUGUAGGCGGUCUGUUGCGUCGGAAGUGAAAACUCAGGGCUUAACCCUGAGCCUGCUUUCGAUACGGGCAGACUUGAGGGAUGUAGGGGAGAACGGAAUUCCUGGUGGAGCGGUGGAAUGCGCAGAUAUCAGGAGGAACACCAGUGGCGAAGGCGGUUCUCUGGACAUUUCCUGACGCUGAGAAGCGAAAGCGUGGGGAGCAAACA
rnacentral:rRNA from 1 species